rnacentral:rRNA from 1 species
AACGAACGCUGGCGGCGUGGAUAAGACAUGCAAGUCGAACGGGAUUUUUUUCUGUAGCAAUACAGGAAAAAGUCUAGUGGCGAACGGGUGCGUAACACGUGAGCAACCUGCCGUGAAGUGGGGGAUAGCUCGCCGAAAGGCGAAUUAAUACCGCAUGUGGCCAAGGAAGACAUCUUCCUGACGCCAAAGCCGGGGCAACCUGGCGCUUCUCGAGGGGCUCGCGGCCUUUCAGCUUGUUGGUGAGGUAACGGCUCACCAAGGCUAUGACGGGUAGCUGGUCUGAGAGGACGACCAGCCACACUCGAACUGAGACACGGUCCAGACACCUACGGGUGGCAGCAGUCGAGAAUUUUUCACAAUGGGGGAAACCCUGAUGGAGCGACGCCGCGUGGAGGAUGAAGGUUUUCGGAUUGUAAACUCCUGUCAUUAGAGAACAAGGCACACGGUUUAACUGGCCGUGUGUUGAUAGUAUCUGAAGAGGAAGAGACGGCUAACUCUGUGCCAGCAGCCGCAGUAA